CCUACGGGAGGCAGCAGUGGGGAAUAUUGCACAAUGGGGGAAACCCUGAUGCAGCGACGCCGCGUGAGUGAAGAUGUAAUUCGUUACGUAAAGCUCUAUCAGCAGGGAAGAAACACUUCCCUUACGGUCAGCAGACGGUACCUGAGUAAGAAGCCCUGGCCAACUACGUGCCAGCAGCCGCGGUAAUACGUAGGGGGCAAGCGUUAUCCGGAUUUACUGGGUGUAAAGGGAGCGUAGACGGUGCGGCAAGUCUGGCGUGAAAUGCCGCGGCUUAACUGCGGAACUGCAUUGGAAACUGGCGAACUAGAGUGCGGGAGGGGUGAGAGGAAUGCGUAGUGUAGCGGUGAAAUGCGUAGAUAUUAGGAGGAACACCGGUGGCGAAGGCGGCUUACUGGACCGUAACUGACGUUGAGGCUCGAAAGCGUGGGGAGCAAACAGGAUUAGAUACCCCAGUAGUC
rnacentral:rRNA from 1 species